rnacentral:rRNA from 1 species
GAGUUUGAUCGUGGCUCAGAUUGAACGCUGGCGGCAUGCCUUACACAUGCAAGUCGAACGGCAGCAUGAUCUAGCUUGCUAGAUUGAUGGCGAGUGGCGAACGGGUGAGUAAUACAUCGGAACGUGCCCUGUAGUGGGGGAUAACUAGUCGAAAGAUUAGCUAAUACCGCAUACGACCUGAGGGUGAAAGUGGGGGACCGCAAGGCCUCAUGCUAUAGGAGCGGCCGAUGUCCGAUUAGCUAGUUGGUGGGGUAAAGGCCCACCAAGGCGACGAUCAGUAGCUGGUCUGAGAGGACGAUCAGCCACACUGGGACUGAGACACGGCCCAGACUCCUACGGGAGGCAGCAGUGGGGAAUUUUGGACAAUGGGCGAAAGCCUGAUCCAGCAAUGCCGCGUGUGUGAAGAGG